GCCUUGUUAGCUUAGUUGGUAGUGCGUCUGCCUUGUAAGCGCUAGGCCGCGGGUUCGAUUCCCGCCCGGGGCG
rfam:Asian citrus Psyllid, Diaphorina citri - Florida Strain, whole genome shotgun sequence.